CUGGAGCCUUCAGUAAAUCCUGCAGUGAGGCACUCAGGAUGCUCCUGACUCAGCAGAAUUCCCAAUUCCUGUUUCGUCCAUCACCACACUGAAGACAGUUGGUAAGCCGGAGAGAUGGAGAGUGAGAUCUGCAGCCUUCAGUAAAUCCUGCAGUGAGGCACAACAGCGAUCC